CAGCGUAGGGUGCGAGCGUUGUCCGGAAAUUAUUGGGCGUAAAGAGCUCGUAGGCGGCUUGUCACGUCGGGUGUGAAAGCCCGGGGCUUAACCCCGGGUCUGCAUUCGAUACGGGCAGGCUAGAGUGUGGUAGGGGAGAUCGGAAUUCCUGGUGUAGCGGUGAAAAUGCGCAGAUAUCAGGAGGAACACCGGUGGCGAAGGCGGAUCUCUGGGCCAUUACUGACGCUGGAGGAGCGAAAGCGUGGGGAGCGAACAGG
rnacentral:rRNA from 1 species